AAAGGUAGAUUUAGCUGAUUGAAAGCUAUCAAUUCUCCUGCCAAAUCAUCACCACACCAUUUCAACUCUAUCAGGACAAAUAUUCUUCAUUCACUCAAGCUAUAUAGAAAGGCAUUGUAUUCUAUUCCUUUUUCUUAUUUCUGCUUGUUUAUAUUUCAUCAGGAAACAUAACUUUCCCCUGUUUUCUUUAACAUUUCUCUAAUUGUUCCAAAUCUAAAAUCUUCAUUAUCAUAUACCACAACUUAUUCUUUUUCUCUUUGUAGGAAAGUGUCUUUUGGCUCUUUAAGGGGAUGUAAAAGGGCAAUAAAUUCAGUGGAUAUACACACAGAAAAUAAGUUUUCAAAUACAUAUUUCCUAUGAAUCUUUGUUUUCCAUAGAGAUUCCUCCUUAGUGUCACAACAGAGCCACAUUUUCCCAGAGCAGAAAAUCACAUCAGGAAUCCUCUGAUAAUGUUAUGAAGAUGCUUGUAUGUUUUAUAAACCAGACAACAAUUAUGCCGAGGAGUGGAUUUGCAGCCUGAGUCCUCCUGCUCCUUUUGGUGUAAAUUUGAUGAAAGGUUAACCUUAGGCAGGAGAGAAGGCAGAAAACCACACUAAGCACUUCUUAGCAGGCAGGGCAGAAAGAACACGGACAACAUUAGGAGCUCUUCUCAUCUGUGCCUAGCGAUGGGUGACAUAUGACACACCUGUUGAAUCUUUUGGGAACUGGAAGAAUGAAAAGUGGAUAACGUGAUGAUCAGGUGUUCAAGAGAGUGUUCAAGAGAGUUUCAGAUGUAAUCCAGGACACGCAUCAAUGCACUAGCUCCACAAAGAAUGACUUUCCCGAAUUCAUUUAUUCGUUCUAACAGUUUUUUGGCGGAGUCUUUAUGGAGGAAGUUGGGGCUUGCCCCGUGGCCAAGUGGUUAAGUUCACACUCUCUGCUGCAGGCGGCCCAGUGUUUCGUUGGUUCGAAUCCUGGGCACGGACAUGGCACUGCUCAUCAAACCACGCUGAGGCGGCGUCCCACAUGCCACAACUAGAAGGACCCACAACGAAGAAUAUACAACUAUGUACUGGGGGGCUUUGGGGAGAAAAAGGAAAAACUAAAAUCUUUAAAAAAAAAAUUAGGAAGAAGUUAAAGUUAUUUACAUAAUUCAUGUCAAACAUAAAUGUUCCUGGCUACAGAAUAAGUAAUUUUUUGUUUUGAUAAUUUAUACCAGUAUUUUUGUUGUUUGGUUAUAUAGUACAGCUUUGGUUGAGACUGAGUUACCACACUUGUUUUCAGGAACUAAAUAUGGAACAAUCAAAUAAUUCGUAAUCUUUAAUGUAAUUUUAGUUGAAAAAAUCAUUAAUGGUUUUAUCCAUAGGAUUUAUCAGAUACAAGUAACUACCAAACUCUAUUUCCUAUAGUGAUAUAUAGACCCAAUACUAAAUUUUACAAUAUGGACCUUGGAGUCAAGUGUAAAUUUUGUACUAAGUGCAUAGCUGUACAGGAUUCUUUAUCAACAAACUUGCUAUUGGUUUUGUAAAGUCCAGAAAAGAGAAUAUGUUCUUCUCCUAUAUCAUCUAUUAUUAUAUAUGGCCAGCCAAUUUCAAAUAUGGGAAACUAACUAUUUUUUGUGGCUUUAGAAGUUGUAUUGGUUAUGUUUCAUUUUUCAUGUGAAUGCUGACAUCAUCGUGAUCCUGCUACACAAACUGCUACCCUAAUUUCAAGCUCCAUUAGAAACAUGGGAAAUAUUGUAUUGCUUACAUUUAUAGAAUUGAGGAAAUACAGGGUUUCAAAUAAUAUAUAACAAAAUAAAGGGUAAUACUGUUCAGCUCUUGAAAUAUACAGAUUAUAUAUGUAAUGUAAUUUGCCUUUUCAUUAUUAUAUUUACAGUCCUUAGAAUUAAGUAAAUGUUCUAAAUAAAAUUAUUUUUUGAAAAUUUUCAGUGAUCAUUAUAUUUAGAAUCCCAGUAUUUUUGGUAAUAAUCCUGCACUUUGGGACAUAAAAAUAAUUUAAAAUAAAAGUUCACUUUUGAGUUCAAUAAUGAAUUGUUCAUGCGGAUGUAUCUCAGAAUGCAUAAUACAUUCUAGAGUGGGAAGAAGCUUAGACCAAAACUGUAAAAAUUAUAAUUCCUUUUAAGAUAUUUUCUACAAAAGUAUGUUUAUUCUUGAGCUGAUAACUUCCAAAUUUGCAACCCUCCAACCCUUACAUCUCACCUAAAGAUCAGAUUUUAAUAGAAAACCAGCAGCUUGUUAUCACUACAUAUGUUUCUGAUAGGUAUAUCAGACUGUGUGUGUCUAAACGGAAUUCUUGAU
rnacentral:lncRNA from 1 species